AGUGAACGCUGGCGGUAGGCCUAACACAUGCAAGUCGAACGGCAGCACAGUAAGAGCUUGCUCUUACGGGUGGCGAGUGGCGGACGGGUGAGGAAUACAUCGGAAUCUACUUUUUCGUGGGGGAUAACGUAGGGAAACUUACGCUAAUACCGCAUACGACCUACGGGUGAAGGCAGGGGAUCUUCGGACCUUGCGCGAUUGAAUGAGCCGAUGUCGGAUUAGCUAGUUGGCGGGGUAAAGGCCCACCAAGGCGACGAUCCGUAGCUGGUCUGAGAGGAUGAUCAGCCACACUGGAACUGAGACACGGUCCAGACUCCUACGGGAGGCAGCAGUGGGGAAUAUUGGACAAUGGGUGCAAGCCUGAUCCAGCCAUACCGCGUGGGUGAAGAAGGCCUUCGGGUUGUAAAGCCCUUUUGUUGGGAAAGAAAAGCAGCAGGUUAAUACCCCGCCGUUCUGACGGUACCCAAAGAAUAAGCACCGGCUAACUUCGUG
rnacentral:rRNA from 1 species